rnacentral:rRNA from 1 species
GACGAACGCUGGCGGCGCGCCUAACACAUGCAAGUCGAACGAGCGAGAGAGAGCUUGCUUUCUCGAGCGAGUGGCGAACGGGUGAGUAACGCGUGAGGAACCUGCCUCAAAGAGGGGGACAACAGUUGGAAACGACUGCUAAUACCGCAUAAGCCCACGGGUCGGCAUCGACCAGAGGGAAAAGGAGCAAUCCGCUUUGAGAUGGCCUCGCGUCCGAUUAGCUAGUUGGUGAGGUAAUGGCCCACCAAGGCGACGAUCGGUAGCCGGACUGAGAGGUUGAACGGCCACAUUGGGACUGAGACACGGCCCAGACUCCUACGGGAGGCAGCAGUGGGGAAUAUUGCACAAUGGGGGAAACCCUGAUGCAGCGACGCCGCGUGGAGGAAGAAGGUCUUCGGAUUGUAAACUCCUGUUGUUGGGGAAGAUAAUGACGGUACCCAACAAGGAAGUGACGG